rnacentral:rRNA from 1 species
UGGGGGAUAUUGCACAAUGGGCGAAAGCCUGAUGCAGCGACGCCGCGUGGGGGAUGAAGGCUUUCGGGUUGUAAACCUCUUUCGCUAUCGAACAAGGCCCGCUUAGGGUGGGUUGAGGGUAGGUGGAGAAGAAGCGCCGGCUAACUACGUGCCAGCAGCCGCGGUAAUACGUAGGGCGCGAGCGUUGUCCGGAAUUAUUGGGCGUAAAGGGCUUGUAGGCGGCUUGUUGCGCCUGCUGUGAAAACGCGGGGCUUAACUUCGCGCGUGCAGUGGGUACGGGCAGGCUUGAGUGUGGUAGGGGUGACUGGAAUUCCAGGUGUAGCGGUGGAAUGCGUAGAGAUCUGGAGGAAUACCGGUGGCGAAGGCGGCCCCCUGGACGAAGACUGACGCUCAGGUGCGAAAGCGUGGGGAGCAAACAGG